UAGAGAGCGACAGACCAGAAGGUGCAGAGUACAUAAAUCCUGGUGAAAGACUCAUAGAAGAAGGAUGUAUUCAUAUAAUUUCACUGGGAUCCAAAGCGUUGAUGAUCCAAGUGUGGGCUGAUCCCCACAAUGCCACUCUUAUCUUUCGUGUGUGCAUGGAUUCAAAUGAUGACAUGAAAGCUGUUUUACUAGCACAGGUUGAAUCACAGGAGAAUAUUUUCCUCCCAAGCAAAUGGCAACAUUUAGUACUCACCUACUUACAGCAGCCCCAAGGGAAAAGGAGGAUUCAUGGGAAAAUCUCCAUAUGGGUCUCUGGACAGAGGUAGGAAGCAUUUUGAGAAAAUGCAUCUCAAUCUCAGUUACAAUGUUAUGUUUCAUUAGUCAAUUAUAGCUUCUGAAACAGAAUACAGAAACUUCUAGGUUUUUACUAUAAUAAAAUUUACUAUAUUUUU
rnacentral:lncRNA from 1 species